rnacentral:rRNA from 1 species
GUGGGGAAUAUUGCACAAUGGGGGAAACCCUGAUGCAGCAACGCCGCGUGAGUGAUGAAGGCCUUCGGGUUGUAAAGCUCUGUCUUCAGGGACGAUAAUGACGGUACCUGAGGAGGAAGCCACGGCUAACUACGUGCCAGCAGCCGCGGUAAUACGUAGGUGGCAAGCGUUGUCCGGAUUUACUGGGCGUAAAGGGAGCGUAGGCGGACUUUUAAGUGAGAUGUGAAAUACCCGGGCUCAACCUGGGUGCUGCAUUUCAAACUGGAAGUCUAGAGUGCAGGAGAGGAGAGUGGAAUUCCUAGUGUAGCGGUGAAAUGCGUAGAGAUUAGGAAGAACACCAGUGGCGAAGGCGACUCUCUGGACUGUAACUGACGCUGAGGCUCGAAAGCGUGGGGAGCAAACAGGAUUAGAUACCCGUGUAGUCC